rnacentral:lncRNA from 1 species
CAAACUCUUAAAGAGCAUAGAUUCAUCUCUACAGCAUACCAAUGACAUAAGAUAACCGAGCUAUCAUGUAUAAACAGGGUCUAGUACAGAACAAUUAAAGAAGAAGAAGAAGCAAAUGAAAGGAAAUUCAACAACUUGUAUUUAGUCAGGCUUCAACUCGAAAUACAUGUUCCUAAUCACUUGUUUGAGAAAUACCUGGUAACGAAAGGAAAUAAAAGGUGAGGGAUCAGAAGUAAUAGUAGCAGGCAAUCAACAGUAGUUUUCAACCAGUUUCAAACCCAGAAAGUGAAUAAAACAGCCCAGAAAAACAGUUUCAAUCCAAGUAAUGAACUAGAAAACUUGAACCAGAUUUGAUUUCAACUCGUUUAAACUAUCAACUAUCCAGAAAUUGUUUCAGUCCUAAGGAAACUUUAGAAAUCACCAGUAACUCAAUGAAACAGUUUUAUUCUUUAGAGUUCUCAAAAUGUUCUUUUAACUCUUUCAGUAUUUCUGGAGCUCCUUGUCUUUGAACUCAGUGUGUGUGUGUGUACUUUAUCUUUUUUUUGUUUCAGGGUAUCAGACUGCUGUGUAUAUGAACUCAAUGCCUAUCUCCCUCUCUCUCUCUCCUUGUUCUCCCCUUUUCUAUCUGUUUUAUAACCUCUAAAAUAGACAGCAAGUUAGUGCAUUUUCUAUUACAAAUCUCCUUUUCCUUUUUUAAUUAUCUCCACUCAAACACCCUUUUCUUUAUAUCAUUCAAAGUGUAAUUACAACCCCACCAUUAUAGAAACUUCUUAAAGUUACGUAAAAUUCUCUUUAUUGAACAAUUCUCCAAACCACCCUUUAAGUUCCUAAUAUCAUUUAACAUCCUCUUAAAGUUCUAGGUGUUUACAAAUUAAGGCAAACAAUUUUCUAACAAAAACAUAGAUAAACAGAAUCAAGAAGGUGUCAAUUUCCAAAACCUAAAUAGCCUUAUCAUGAACUGAAAUCAGAAAUCAAUCAACGACUGAGUAACUGAAACUGAUAUUUACGAAGAAACAAACAAUGAAUGCCCUAUUUCAAACUUUGAAGCAAUUACACCAAGUCAUCUAAUCAGGGAGUCAAACGAUACUAACAUGUUGGAUUUCAAUUAAACACAACAGACUUAAAUUGAAGACUGGAACCCUAUUGACCUAAUGAUAAUCCCGAACGAUUAACGAUUGAACACAGAAGCUAAUUAAACCUAAAACUAAGCAGAAUGGAUAAAUAAAAAAAUCAGAGCACAACCCCCUUUUUUAGAAAUUGAAAAGAAAACUAGAAAAAUAGAAAUAAAAACAAACUAACUUAAAGGGAAGAACUAGGUUUGAAAACUAAUUACAAUUUCAGUCGAAAGACAGACCAAUCAAAGAUACACAGAGAAGAAAAGAAGAAGGAGCGAAACAAACACUAAAAAUGAACAUAAAAAUUAAAGGAACUCACCGGCUAAACUUGAAUUUACCCUUGAUACUCUGACUCAACCCAAACUGAUGCUAAUAAUUUGUUCUUUGUCAAGAACAAAUGAACAACAUCGGUUUUGUAGUGAAUCGAUCUUCUAAUCACGAAAAACUAGAGGAUUGGAUCGAUGCAUGUCAUCAGGUUCAACGGAAACUGAUUUUGAACUUUUAAGGUUCGAACUUAGAUUUAAAAUUCGACGAGUUCCGGUCAGAUUCGAAGGAAACCAAUGAUGGAUUUGGUAUGAGGGAGUUAUGGGGGUUAUGUGGUGUUGAUUUGGGGUCGAUUGAGUAAGCUAGGGUUCGGGGAUUUUGGGACCGGACUGCUUCGAUUGAAGAUUCGAGAAGUACUAAGGUGAUUUGAGGGAAACCAAUUAUAGAUUAGGGAAGAUGGAGACAUGGGGAUUUCCUGGUGUUAAUUUGGUGGUGGUUUGAGGCGGCGGCACCACCGGAGAAGGUGGAGGAUUUGGGGGCGGCGCUAGGGUUAGGUGGGUAUCUCUGAAGGUGGGGGUGAA